CCUACGGGGGGCAGCAGUGAGGAAUAUUGGUCAAUGGACGCAAGUCUGAACCAGCCAUGCCGCGUGCAGGAAGACGGCUCUAUGAGUUGUAAACUGCUUUUGUACGAGGGUAAACGCAGAUACGCGUAUCUGUCUGAAAGUAUCGUACGAAUAAGGAUCGGCUAACUCCGGGCCAGCAGCCGCGGUAAUACGGAGGAUUCAAGCGUUAUCCGGAUUUAUUGGGUUUAAAGGGUGCGUAGGCGGUCGGAUAAGUUAGAGGUGAAAUCCCGAGGCUCAACUUCGGAAUUGCCUCUGAUACUGUUCGGCUAGAGAGUAGUUGCGGUAGGCGGAAUGUAUGGUGUAGCUGUGAAAUGCUUAGAGAUCAUACAGAACACCGAUUGCGAAGGCAGCUUACCAAGCUACUUCUGACGUUGAGGCACGAAAGCGUGGGGAGCAAACAGGAUUAGAUACCCCAGUAGUC
rnacentral:rRNA from 1 species